UGGGGGCACAGCGCAGGGCCGCAGGACGCCAGGGGUGCAGGAUGGAGCCCCCGCUGCCCCCGGGCCCGGCCGGGGGGACACGGGACCAGCCCCGCAAAGCGCCUCACGACACCCGGCGGCGCUUUGCGGCCGCGGCGCUUUGCGGCCGCGCGACCCCGGGGCCUGGGGCACCGGGAGGGCCCGGGAGCGGGAUGAGCUUCUACGACGCCUUUCGCGGCUUCUUCGGGUUCCCGGGGCGGCGCAGGCCCCGGGACCCGCUGUUCGGCGGCGCGGCGUGGGACGAGGAGGAGGAGGAUGACGGCCCAUGCCUGGCGCAGCCCCCACAGGACUUCGGUUUCGGGUUCAGCCCCGGCGCGUCCCACGGAACCUUCGAGGAGCUGUUCCGAGACAUGGGCGAGCUUCUGGGGGCCCUCGGGGGAGCCUGGGCCGGUCCCCCCCAGCUCUUCGCGCCCGCCCUGCCCGGCCCCGGCGAGGGGCGGCCGCUGCGGGACUCGAUGCUGAAACAUCCGGACAGCCCCCCCGCCAGCGCGGCCCCGGCGAGCCCCGAGGGCGCCAGAAACCCGGCCCGGCCCUGGAGACCCUUCCUGGGGCUGGACGAUGCUCGCCCGGCUCCUCCCGGCCUCAAGGAAGACCAAGACUUGGACUCCCAGGUCUUCUCCGCGGGGCUGGGGACCAUCCUGAGACCCGAGGAGCCCAAGUCCCGCUCCUACUUCCAGAGCGUCUCUGUCACCAAAGUGACUCUGCCUGACGGGGCAGUGGAGGAGCGCCGCACCGUGCAGGACAGCCAGGGCCGCCGGGAGACCACGGUGACGCGCCGGAGGGGGGACCAGGCCUUCAUCACCACCACCAAGGAGGACGGGCAGGGCAAGGACUACCGGGAGGAGGGGAGCUGGCGCAGUUUGCAGGCUCGUGGCCGCGGCGGGACGAGCUCCGCCCUCCCGAUCCGAGCGACCCGUCCUCUAUCCUGAGCAGCUUCCUCCGACACUGGUUCUCCAGCUGGUAGCUGUGCCCGGCCCUGGCUGAGCACCCAGUGGGUCAGAUCCUCCUGGGAGUUAGCACCUGGGCUGGGGGCUACCUUCCUUCAGGAGUGCUAUGGAGCCACAGGAACCCCCGUGGGGGCCAAAUGCGUGUGUGCGUACAGAGCAAUAAAGUCUAUUUAUGCUAAA